rnacentral:tRNA from 1 species
UUUUAUAGGAUUGAAGUGAUCCGUUGAUCUUAGGAGUCAAAAAAUUGGUGCAACUCCAAAUAA